rnacentral:rRNA from 1 species
GGGUUGUGAGGUUAAGCGACUAAGCGUACACGGUGGAUGCCCUGGCAGUCAGAGGCGAUGAAGGACGUGCUAAUCUGCGAUAAGCGCCGGUAAGGUGAUAUGAACCGUUAUAACCGGCGAUUUCCGAAUGGGGAAACCCAGUGUGAUUCGUCACACUAUCAUUAACUGAAUCCAUAGGUUAAUGAGGCGAACCGGGGGAACUGAAACAUCUAAGUACCCCGAGGAAAAGAAAUCAACCGAGAUUCCCCCAGUAGCGGCGAGCGAACGGGGAGGAGCCCAGAGCCUGAAUCAGCAUGUGUGUUAGUGGAAGCGUCUGGAAAGGCGCGCGAUACAGGGUGACAGCCCCGUACACAAAAGCGCAUGUGCUGUGAGCUCGAUGAGUAGGGCGGGACACGUGGUAUCCUGUCUGAAUAUGGGGGGACCAUCCUCCAAGGCUAAAUACUCCUGACUGACCGAUAGUGAACCAGUACCGUGAGGGAAAGGCGAAAAGAACCCCGGCGAGGGGAGUGAAAAAGAACCUGAAACCGUGUACGUACAAGCAGUGGGAGCACAGGUUUACCUGUGUGACUGCGUACCUUUUGUAUAAUGGGUCAGCGACUUAUAUUCUGUAGCAAGGUUAACCGUAUAGGGGAGCCGUAGGGAAACCGAGUCUUAACCGGGCGUUAAGUUGCAGGGUAUAGACCCGAAACCCGGUGAUCUAGCCAUGGGCAGGUUGAAGGUUGGGUAACACUAACUGGAGGACCGAACCGACUAAUGUUGAAAAAUUAGCGGAUGACCUGUGGCUGGGGGUGAAAGGCCAAUCAAACCGGGAGAUAGCUGGUUCUCCCCGAAAGCUAUUUAGGUAGCGCCUCGUGAAUUCAUCUCCGGGGGUAGAGCACUGUUUCGGCUAGGGGGCCAUCCCGGCUUACCAACCCGAUGCAAACUGCGAAUACCGGAGAAUGUUAUCACGGGAGACACACGGCGGGUGCUAACGUCCGUCGUGAAGAGGGAAACAACCCAGACCGCCAGCUAAGGUCCCAAAGUCAUGGUUAAGUGGGAAACGAUGUGGGAAGGCCCAGACAGCCAGGAUGUUGGCUUAGAAGCAGCCAUCAUUUAAAGAAAGCGUAAUAGCUCACUGGUCGAGUCGGCCUGCGCGGAAGAUGUAACGGGGCUAAACCAUGCACCGAAGCUGCGGCAGCGACGCUUAUGCGUUGUUGGGUAGGGGAGCGUUCUGUAAGCCUGCGAAGGUGGCCUGUGAGGGUUGCUGGAGGUAUCAGAAGUGCGAAUGCUGACAUAAGUAACGAUAAAGCGGGUGAAAAGCCCGCUCGCCGGAAGACCAAGGGUUCCUGUCCAACGUUAAUCGGGGCAGGGUGAGUCGACCCCUAAGGCGAGGCCGAAAGGCGUAGUCGAUGGGAAACGGGUUAAUAUUCCCGUACUUGGUGUUACUGCGAAGGGGGGACGGAGAAGGCUAUGUUGGCCGGGCGACGGUUGUCCCGGUUUAAGCGUGUAGGUGUGUGUUCCAGGUAAAUCCGGUUCACUUUAACACUGAGGCGUGACGACGAGGCACUACGGUGCUGAAGCAACAAAUGCCCUGCUUCCAGGAAAAGCCUCUAAGCAUCAGGUAACAUCAAAUCGUACCCCAAACCGACACAGGUGGUCAGGUAGAGAAUACCAAGGCGCUUGAGAGAACUCGGGUGAAGGAACUAGGCAAAAUGGUGCCGUAACUUCGGGAGAAGGCACGCUGACACGUAGGUGAAGUGAUUUACUCACGGAGCUGAAGUCAGUCGAAGAUACCAGCUGGCUGCAACUGUUUAUUAAAAACACAGCACUGUGCAAACACGAAAGUGGACGUAUACGGUGUGACGCCUGCCCGGUGCCGGAAGGUUAAUUGAUGGGGUCAGCGCAAGCGAAGCUCCUGAUCGAAGCCCCGGUAAACGGCGGCCGUAACUAUAACGGUCCUAAGGUAGCGAAAUUCCUUGUCGGGUAAGUUCCGACCUGCACGAAUGGCGUAAUGAUGGCCAGGCUGUCUCCACCCGAGACUCAGUGAAAUUGAACUCGCUGUGAAGAUGCAGUGUACCCGCGGCAAGACGGAAAGACCCCGUGAACCUUUACUAUAGCUUGACACUGAACAUUGAGCCUUGAUGUGUAGGAUAGGUGGGAGGCUUUGAAGCGUGGACGCCAGUCUGCGUGGAGCCGACCUUGAAAUACCACCCUUUAAUGUUUGAUGUUCUAACGUGGACCCGUAAUCCGGGUUGCGGACAGUGUCUGGUGGGUAGUUUGACUGGGGCGGUCUCCUCCUAAAGAGUAACGGAGGAGCACGAAGGUUGGCUAAUCCUGGUCGGACAUCAGGAGGUUAGUGCAAUGGCAUAAGCCAGCUUGACUGCGAGCGUGACGGCGCGAGCAGGUGCGAAAGCAGGUCAUAGUGAUCCGGUGGUUCUGAAUGGAAGGGCCAUCGCUCAACGGAUAAAAGGUACUCCGGGGAUAACAGGCUGAUACCGCCCAAGAGUUCAUAUCGACGGCGGUGUUUGGCACCUCGAUGUCGGCUCAUCACAUCCUGGGGCUGAAGUAGGUCCCAAGGGUAUGGCUGUUCGCCAUUUAAAGUGGUACGCGAGCUGGGUUUAGAACGUCGUGAGACAGUUCGGUCCCUAUCUGCCGUGGGCGCUGGAGAACUGAGGGGGGCUGCUCCUAGUACGAGAGGACCGGAGUGGACGCAUCACUGGUGUUCGGGUUGUCAUGCCAAUGGCACUGCCCGGUAGCUAAAUGCGGAAGAGAUAAGUGCUGAAAGCAUCUAAGCACGAAACUUGCCCCGAGAUGAGUUCUCCCUGAGACUUAGAGUCUCCUGAAGGAACGUUGAAGACGACGACGUUGAUAGGCCGGGUGUGUAAGCGCAGCGAUGCGUUGAGCUAACCGGUACUAAUGAACCGUGAGGCUUAACCUUACAACGCCGAAG